AUAAUAAUUUCAUAUUAAUUGGAGUAUAAUUGUAAUUUGAAAAGCCAGUUCUCUUUGUAACAGAAAGCCUUUGGAUUUUUGUAUGAGAACAGUAAAAAAUUAGUAUUACUUUAGGACGCUAAUAGGGCAAAGCAGGAAGACUAUACUGUUGUAUUUUAAAUUCCUUUUUCUUGCACCUCGGUGAGUGUAUUGCUGGUGGUAGUUGUAUAAAUUAGGUAAGAGCUAGGUUAAAAAGGUGAAAUUUUGACAUGAUUUCUGGUUAUGUUGACUUUAGGGUCCUCUGAUUCUUACCACCCAUCUUGAAGUACCAUGAAGGAGCUUGAUUUUCAGACAUGCUCAGCACAUUGUAAAAUCAAAAUCUCUUAUCACUUAUCGCCCUGAUAGCGAGGCACACAAAGUCCUUAAUUUUGAAACUGUUGGCCACUAUGUCAGAAUUUCCCUCGUGUUGAGAUCUGAGGAUCUUCAUUCAGACUCAGUAACAUGAACUGCCAUGAACUAGUGCAGUUCAGCUGAACUGCUUGUUAGAUGCCUACAGGAAAUGUGUCCUAUUUCUGUAACGUAUACCUACAGAGAUACUACCAGUAUAUUUCACCUGGCUAGAGCGCAUGUUAUUUUUCUUCAGAAAAUUGUGUUGAGUUUCUGUCAAAAGCAUGAAAAUUAUUAGUUUUUUGACUAAUUGACCCCACAGCCUAGCUUUUGUUCCCUCCUCCAGCAGGCUGUGGAGCAGGUAGGGCAGCACUGCUGGCAGGGCUACAGGAUGAGGAGGACGCCUGCACCUUCUUCCCUGCAGUGAGGGUAGAGCCACCACGUGGAUAGUGUUAUUCCCUCCAGAGAGAAGCAAAGAGAGAGGUAGUGACUGGGUGCAUAUAGGUAGAUGUUAGUCAUCACAUCCCUUGCCCUUUGGCACGUUAAAUGGUAUGCCUUCUUAAAGUCAGCAUAUACCUCCCUAAUGCACGUGGGACCUAUUCCUACCUGGGCUCUAUGGCCACUUCUGUCAUCAGCAGUAGAAAAAACGGUGUUAUUUACUGACAUUUCUGGAAGUGCUCAUUGCAGGUUGUGCCAAGCCUGCCAGUGCCGCUUCGUGAAAUGCUGUACAACAGACCAGAACUGUUGUUGAGAGAAAUUAGUCUGUCAGCAUGGUUUAGCGCUCACAAAUUGCUAAUGGAUUUUGUGCAUGUGUUAUCUCAAGCUCCAGUACUGCUGGUUUUGUGUGAAUGUACUUCUGGAAAACGAUGUUGUUAUAACUAAUAGAUCUACAUCAUGUAUAUGAUUGGGAAGCAAAUUUGUUUCUGAUUUCAUUCGGGUUUGUUUUCCUUUUAUUCCAGGUGGCGCGAGGUCCCAGAUCCUCAUUUUCCAAAUCCUUUUUGUUCUUCAGUUCUUUCUUUGCAUGUAAGGGCAAUAUUUAUUUUAUGUUUUUCAGCCAUGCAGCUCUGUACUAGGUAGUCCAUAGAUAGACUGAACGAUGUACCCUAUGGUAGCAGACAACAGAGGAUGCUUAAGGAAGAGUAUGAGAACAGGGCAUGCCUAGAUCCUUCCCCAUUACCUUCUCAGCUUUCAGUUUAUGUUCUAAAUAGAGAACACAGAGGAUGUCUGGAAAAAGGAUCCAUCACCAUUAGUUUUCCACAGGCAAUGACAAAAUGAGGAAUAAGUUGAUGGGCAACUUCACCCAGGCAUCCAUACCAAUAACUGAAACCAUUUCUCUUAGGUCUUGCCCAAGAAGCAGCAAAAUAUCACUGUCAGAGAAUAUCUGACAUUCACGUGGAAAAGUCUUUUCUUGUGCCUAAAGUCACUCGUACGUUAGACUUGGGACUAGAUUCAGGAUUGAAUCCUGUAUUCUAACUUGGAGCAAUAACAUUUACUUAAGGAAACUAUAGAGUCAGUUCCUAAACUGGGAACUACCUAAUGCUUGUCACCAGGUGGAGGGCUGUGCCAAGAAGAUCUGGGCAUGUUCAUAGGGCUUAAAUUAGCAUAACAGCAGCUUUAAAUGUGCGAAACAAGGGCAGUGCAAACCCUGGGCUACUGUGCAUAGAGUUUCCUGGGCAAUCCAAAUGGUGAUUAAGUGAGUUUUGUAUGUAAGAUUUUAUGAAAGUGGCAAUACUUUUGUAGGUGUUAAAUUAUUAAUCCCUAUACUAUUUAUGGUAAUAUUUUUAUCCUAAUUAACCUAUUUAGUAUUAAUGAGGAUGUACUAUGUGAGAUGAAAGUCCUAUUAAUUUUGUAGUUAAAAAGGCAUUCAAUUUUUAUGCUGCAGCAUCAGGACACAGACAUGAUAGUGUCACAAGAGCGAUAGACACAGUGGAAAUACUACUUCAGCAUGUGACAAUAAGGAAAAAGUCUCUCCUUUUCAAACCUUCGAGCCUCAGUUGAUGUCAGGCAUAGCAUCACCAGCAGAAUUUUGUAAAUUUACAUCAGUCAGAAGCCUGCUAUUGACAGUAUUGAAAUUCUAAAAGCAUGAUGUAUCUUUUUUUCGUUUUUCUACCUCUCUGCCCUUUUUGGCCCCUAUUUUGCUUUUCCUCUCAGGGGAUCUUCAACCUGUGAAAGCAAUAGCCACAUUUUGGAAUAAUAAUGUCUCAUGUUACAGUACCGAGCGUGUGUUACUCAGUAGAACCUGGGGCUAUAGUCAAGAAUUGACUUUUUUUUUUUUUUUUGCGCGCCCCCCCCCCCCCCCCCCCCCCCCCCCCCCCCCAAUCCCUAGUGCUGUGGAUGGGGAUUUUUACUGAAAAAUUCAUUGCUUGACCUGCACUUUGAUUUGACUCAGAGCUGCACACCUUACAGUUAUUGCAUUCCAGUGCAAAGGAGCAUUGUUUUGUUUUUGGUUGGUUUUUUUUUUUUUUUUUAGCAAGUAACCUCUGCCUUGAUAGACAUAUAAAAAUGAAGAAUACAUUCCUCAUGACUCAUUUCCAAAAAUAAUUGAUAGGCCUGCCUGGCUACAUAGUAAGUCCAAUGUUAGGAGUAAGAGAGUCAUGUAUUAUGCAUUUCUAACAUAGCACGAUGAGGAAGCAUUGGUAAUGCUGUUCUAGAGGAGCAAAUCCUGAGGUCCUCUCACUCUGAUGCCCAUUCUUCAUGAUCUCUUCGAAAUCCCUAAGCUCUUUGCUUAAUAGCUGUCCUCUUUUUUCUUGUCCUGUAGGGAAGUUUUCAAUCACCAUCAAUUUACUUUCCCAUUUACAACUUAAACCAAUGAUAAUGUCCAGUGACAUGAAACUUUUCCUGGAUUGCUUCAGAAAGCCUAAAAAACGUGUGAUCUAUGUCCCACCUCUGUUGUUUCCUGAGACUGGCCAUUUCUCCAAAGGCCAGAGCAGAAGUAGGCAUGACUUACUCACCAAGCUUUUGCUUAUCCUUGCUAAUUUAGAAAAAAGAUCAAGCAGACUUACCUGGAAGUGGUACGCAUUGGCUGUGUUAAACCAAAUCACACUGUUUGAAUGGGAAUAUUGCAGUAGUACAGCAGGGAACAGGUGGUCUCAGAUAUGACUGCAUGCUAAAUUUUGGGGCCUACUUCCUUGUGAAGGCCAAGGUCAACCAUAGAUGCUUAUUAAUGAUAAACUGAGAAGUCAAAGGGAUUGAGUAAGAAAUUCUGUUCCGAUGUGCUUUUCCUCCCUCCUUUGCUACCUCAAGGUAAGAGUCAGUCAUGCUGAUCUGUGUGUGUCUUCCUUUAACUGCACCUGAUAAAGAAUAAUCCAGUUAAAACUUAUAUCAUUGUAUUCUUUGAAUAUUUUAUGGAUUACUCCAAAGCAAGUGGUAUGAGUACUGGAAUUUGUCAGGCUAUGUGUGAAAACAGAAGUUCAUUUAAUGACAAGAACUUUCAGUCUGCUGCAAAUAGUGUUUCAUCACAAUGAAGCAAAUGUUUUCAUUUUAGAAGCAGUUCACAUAGCUCUGAAAGGAGAUUUAUGUACUUAUUAAUAUAGUAAAAUUAUUAAUAUUGUAAAUAU